rnacentral:rRNA from 1 species
GAUGAACGCUGGCGGCGUGCCUAAUACAUGCCAGUCGAGCGAACAGACGAGGAGCUUGCUCCUCUGACGUUAGCGGCGGACGGGUGAGUAACACGUGGAUAACCUACCUAUAAGACUGGGAUAACUUCGGGAAACCGGAGCUAAUACCGGAUAAUAUAUUGAACCGCAUGGUUCAAUAGUGAAAGACGGUUUUGCUGUCACUUAUAGAUGGAUCCGCGCCGCAUUAGCUAGUUGGUAAGGUAACGGCUUACCAAGGCAACGAUGCGUAGCCGACCUGAGAGGGUGAUCAGCCACACUGGAACUGAGACACGGUCCAGACUCCUACGGGAGGCAGCAGUAGGGAAUCUUCCACAAUGGGCGAAAGCCUGACGGAGCAACGCCGCGUGAGUGAUGAAGGUCUUCGGAUCGUAAAACUCUGUUAUUAGGGAAGAACAAAUGUGUAAGUAACUAUGCACGUCUUGACGGUACCUAAACAGAAAGCCACGGCUAACUACGUG